rnacentral:rRNA from 1 species
AUUGAACGCUGGCGGCAGGCCUAACACAUGCAAGUCGAACGCAUGGAGGACGGGUGAGUAAUGGCUGGGAAACUGCCUGAUGGAGGGGGAUAAGUCCUGGAAACGGUAGCUACUACCGCAUACCAUCAGAUGUGCCCAGUUGGGUUUAGCUGGUGGGUGGGGUAACGGCUCACCAAGGGGACGCUCCCUAGCUGGUCUGAGAGGAUGACCAGCCACACUGGAACUGAGACACGGUCCCGACUCCUACGGGAGGCAGCAGUGGGGAAUAUUGCACAAUGGGCUCAAGCCUGAUCCAGCCAUGCCGCGUGUAUGAAGAAGGCCUUCGGGUUGUAAAGUACUUUCAGCAGGGAGGCGUUACCCGCAGAAGAAGCACCGGCUAACUCCGUGCCAGCAGCCGCGGUAAUAC